UGAACGCGGCGGCGUGCCUAACAAUGCAAGUCGAGCGGUAACAGGUGUAGCAAUACAUGCUGACGAGCGGCGAACGGGUGAGUAAUGCUUCGGAAUCUGCCCAAUGGUGGGGAAUAACCAGCCGAAAGGUUGGCUAAUACCGCAUAAGUCCUACGGGGGAAAGCAGGGGAUCGCAAGACCUUGCGCCGAUGGAUGAGCCGAAGUCGGAUUAGCUAGUUGGUAGGGUAACGGCCUACCAAGGCGACGAUCCGUAGCUGGUCUGAGAGGACGACCAGCCACACUGGGACUGAGACACGGCCCAGACUCCUACGGGAGGCAGCAGUGGGGAAUAUUGGACAAUGGGGGAAACCCUGAUCCAGCGACGCCGCGUGUGUGAAGAAGGCCUGCGGGUUGUAAAGCACUUUUAGUGGGGAUGAAAAGCUCAGGGCUAACACCUCUGGGUCUUGACCUAACCCACAGAAAAAGCACCGGCUAACUCUGUGCCAGCAGCCGCGGUAAUACAGAGGGUGCGAGCGUUAAUCGGAAUUACUGGGCGUAAAGCGUGCGUAGACGGUUAUGUAAGUCGGGUGUGAAAGCCCCG
rnacentral:rRNA from 1 species